UGGGGAAUUUUGGACAAUGGGCGAAAGCCUGAUCCAGCAAUGCCGCGUGUGUGAAGAAGGCCUUCGGGUUGUAAAGUACUUUUGUCCGGAAAGAAAUCCUCUGGGUUAAUACCUCGGGGGGAUGACGGUACCGGAAGAAUAAGCACCGGCUAACUACGUGCCAGCAGCCGCGGUAAUACGUAGGGUGCAAGCGUUAAUCGGAAUUACUGGGCGUAAAGCGUGCGCAGGCGGUUUUGUAAGACGGAUGUGAAAUCCCCGGGCUUAACCUGGGAACUGCAUUCGUGACUGCAAGGCUAGAGUAUGGCAGAGGGGGGUAGAAUUCCACGUGUAGCAGUGAAAUGCGUAGAGAUGUGGAGGAAUACCGAUGGCGAAGGCAGCCCCCUGGGCCAAUACUGACGCUCAUGCACGAAAGCGUGGGGAGCAAACAGGAUUAGAUACCCUGGUAGUCCACGCCCUAAACGAUGUCAACUAGUUGUUGGGGAUUCAUUUCCUUAGUAACGUAGCUAACGCGUGAAGUUGACCGCCUGGGGAGUACGGUCGCAAGAUUAAAACUUAAAUGAAUUGACGGGGUCAUAGCUGUUUCCU
rnacentral:rRNA from 1 species